rnacentral:sRNA from 1 species
GAGAGGCGUGAAGCAUUCUGUAGCUCAAAAGGUUACGGAACUUCAUGGGGAAGCACGUCUCUAGUCACAACUACCACGCUAUUGGUUAGCAAACUGUCCUGAACACAGUUGUAGAGGUUCGACUCCUCACAAAGCAAAAGCCUUUCCCUGCCGGUAAGCGAAAGCGCCACUAAUCCCCGACUGGGAGCAGAAUCGGGGCAGGACGAGCCCGCAAGGCGGAUCCUGUUUGUAGACGAGUAGUGCAGCCAUGGGACGGCCAUCCUAACGGCGAAGCCAAAGUCGCAGAGUAGCUUUCGGCAUUACGAGUGGUCAGCGUUACUGACCGGGCGUUGCACGUACACAGGGGACUGUGUGGACAAGCCGGGAAUCCAUAAUCCGGCGAAAGCGUGUGAAGGAAGGUUUAGUCUCUAGCCC